rnacentral:lncRNA from 1 species
UUCCAUGUCCCUUGGUCCGCUGGGAUAAGGAGGGGGAGCUUGGGGGAGGAGAUUGAUACUUCCCUGCCUUUCGGGUCGAUUGAGAGGUUGUGACCAGUUUUGGUGGCUGUGGCUCUUGAAGCCACAUGGACCAAAACCUUACCAGCCAUUGAUCGGAUAAGAGAGCAGCGAAGUACUUGCAGUGGCAGAGGCUGUGGGCCGAGAGGUGGAGGGUAUCACAACCCAAUACAACUCCACCACCGCCAUUUCUCUCCACUCUCUUUUUCUUUCUUUUUUGGAUUCCAAUCUCUCCUCUUUCAGUAAUCUUUCUUUCUCAUAUACGGUCUUAAGCAAAUUCAUUACCUCAACC